GGACAAGUCCCGGGCACUUGUAAUUGGAGACUCGUAAUACGGGCUGUAGUUGGAGUCUAGGUAGUAUUCUUAUGUUGGCAGAAGGUGUCUGGAGCUGUGAAGUUACCCUGCAGCACUUCGACCUUUUUCCUAACUUUCUUUCAGAUGCGGAUGGAUCGACCUCCCGGCAGAGCGCCCCGUCCCAGAUGAGGGGAUCCCCCUGAGAAGGAAGUAAAGCCGGAUAGCAGCAGUGAAGGUGAAGCAUUGUGAAGGUGGUCUACUUGCAAGAUAUCCCAGCCCAGGAUGCCAGAGGACAGGUUCCGUGCAGAGAGGCAGAGCCGAAGUUUGCGAUCGGCCGCACCGAAGCCGGCGCGGGGGAUGUCUCG